AGUGAACGCUGGCGGCAGGCCUAACACAUGCAAGUCGAACGGCAGCACAAGAGAGCUUGCUCUCUGGGUGGCGAGUGGCGGACGGGUGAGGAAUGCAUCGGAAUCUGCCCAUUUGUGGGGGAUAACCUCGGGAAACCGGGACUAAUUCCGCAUACGACCUACGGGUGAAAGCAGGGGAUCUUCGGACCUUGCGCAGAUGGAUGAGCCGAUGCCGGAUUAGCUAGUUGGAGGGGUAAAGGCCCACCAAGGCGACGAUCCGUAGCUGGUCUGAGAGGAUGAUCAGCCACACUGGGACUGAGACACGGCCCAGACUCCUACGGGAGGCAGCAGUGGGGAAUAUUGGACAAUGGGCGCAAGCCUGAUCCAGCCAUGCCGCGUGUGUGAAGAAGGCCUUCGGGUUGUAAAGCACUUUUGUUGGGAAAGAAAAGCAGCCGGUUAAUACCCGGUUGUCAUGACGGUACCCAAAGAAUAAGCACCGGCUAACUUCGUG
rnacentral:rRNA from 1 species